CGAUAACCUGUCACCAACAUCGGAGACCGAAGAGUGACGUCAGACCAGCGUCGCCGAGGAAAUGACCUAGACGGAGGUGGUCGAUCACAAAAGUUGCUGCGGAAGAGGGUUGGCCCAGUAGUGGCGUGGAACUGCACAAAAGGAAAUAACGUCUCUUGGCUGCUCACAAGUGUGCACAGAGCAAGACAGCUGAAACCACAGUCACCAGGGUGGCAGAAACAUCCUAUUAGCCUGGUUGCAGUCAACUCGGAAGCCCUCAACUGCCAUACUCAUGCCCAAACCCACUCCAGCCCAAAACCCGCCCGCUUGUCCACAACUCUGAACCCAAGUGUGAAAGCAUCGUUUCGAGCGUGGAGCGCCGUAAGUUUACUGCAGUCUGCUGUCGAGCAAGCAAACAUAGCCUGGACGAAACUGCCUUCGGACCCUUCGGGUGGUUCGGAUUGGGACACAAACACAAUGCGAGCAAACUCGUACUAUUGACUCAAAGCGGCAGGCGACAUGAAGGGUGAUUAUAGCAUCAGGGUACAGCGUCUGGUGUGAAGAAGAGAGAUUGACACCGUUCAGGUUAUGAGGUUUGUAUAGCCCGAUGAAGUUUUUCUCCACUCAUAAUGCAGAAGUGCCGUCACUGUCUGUACUGUCACAUCUCACGAUACUCAUAGGUGUACAGCACUGUCGCUCGGGACAGGCUGUGAUCAACAUCAUACUCGUCCCGAAGUUUUGACAUCAGUGACUCCGGAAAUCUUCCAAUAACACCAUCACCUCCCUCAAGUGUAUACCACCGGUGGCAUGGAGAGCAUGUCGCAUUCCAAAACAACAACAGGUCUCCUAUCGCACCACCAAGCUCCCUUUACCACCGUCGAGACCUGUCGUGCAUCACCGGAGAUGAACGAAAUAAACGAUGAAAGGUAUAUCUAUCAGCAGACUCCUUUCCUGAUCACAUUUAUGCAAUCUCCAAAAACUCAGACACCGCUCUCAUAAUCCUAGAAGCAGAAUCCAACACGCUCUUCAGGCCCAGUACUUUACUUUCGGCCAAGACGCUCCACACUUGCUCCUUCUCAUCCACUCUCUCACCUGGACACGUUGAUCCUCCUCCAUCUUAGCGCUGCUCUCCCAAUGUCGUGAAACUAUCCCAAGCGUGAGGGUUGUGGUAUCAUGGAGUCCUUGUCGCGACCAGGGCGAUAUCAGACUCCCUAGACAACGUCAAACGGAAUGUCUCACGCAUAUAGAGCCAGGGAAACAUAGCUCGGGAUAUCUAGAGUAUAUGUUGCAGAGCUGGCAACAUGGCGUAUUGGUUAAAGACCAAGUCGAACAGAUGGGGAACAAUGCGGAACAAUACAGAGAAGUGUCUCAAGUAGAUGUGUGUACCCAGCUGCUGAAAAAAUGUGUUAUGUGAAAAGUUGCACAUUGGAUUUUGUUUGGAUGGCGUGAGCAUGUCCAUUUAGAUGUCUUACUGUUGGACUGUAUAUCGUUAGAGGACUUGGGCCUAUCUGGACUGCCCUUACCUAUACCGAGAUUGUCUCUAGCUGCCUCUCUAUGUCCAGAAAUUCUUUACCGCGCACUCCAAAGCUGUUAUCUCGUACCAAACGGUCGUGUGGAGCUGAGAUUGAUACCCAGAGGGGAGUGUCGUUCUACGCGACAGCUGAGGAUGUUGUAUGGGGACAUGUUUCAAGCAUCGUUGUCGUCGCCGAUUGAACAUGUUGACUGUCUACUUGACAUAUGUUUCAAGGACGAAGUGAAUGAGAGUGUACGGAGGCGUUCUGUCGGCCGAUUGCGUGAUUGGAGUGGACUGAUGUGUGACUUGAUGGGUGCUGGAGAGAUUGUUUUAUAUCCAGGAGGUGUCGCCUGUGUUCUUCCGCAGAUUGUCAUUUGACGUGAUUUUGUCAGUGGGACUAUACCUGGUCGUUAAUGGACAUUAUUGGAUCCUGGAGAUGCAAAAUUGUUUGUUAUAACGACAACCGCCAAGUCCUUGUCGACCGUAUCUCUUCUGCGUUGGUUCUGUGUCGGUUCUCGGUUGCUUUUGGUCCUUUCCGAUGUUUCCAAGCGUCUGCUGUGUGUCAGGGCAUUGCAAGGGUUAGCGAGCGAGUGGGUGGGUGAGCGAGUGAAUGAGUGAAUGGGUCUGGUGGGUGAAUAUGAAUGAAAUCAGCAAAGACAGAGGCAAACUGAUACAGUAACAGAAACAAGAGAGACAGGAGGGAAGCACACACUGGCCAAACCAUUCGCUCUCAUGUCGGUGUCCAUUCCAGUGCCCAAACACCGUCCGUGAUGCUUGUUUGAAAGUCUAGUACACUGUCUUGGGUCAAACACACUCACCAGUAUGAGAUGGUAUCGAUACUCACUCGUCUUGGCCUUGUCGUUUGUUGAAGGCAUGGGCACUCAUCCAAGCGUCAGCUGUUGAACGGAUAGGCACAUCUGAGCCCUUGUCUUGUCAGUCGGCCAAACGUGCGUGUUCCGAAAAACAAAACAAAACCAUCCAUCGAGAAAGCCAUCCAGUCGAUCAGCCUGGAGAGUCUACCAAAGGCAUCAGUGGCAGUAGGAGAGCAUCCUAGCGGUUCUCUACACCCUCUAUGCCGUCUGCGUGGCUCAUUAGGUCACUUUGUUAGUGGAGCCAAAACGUUCACCUGUGAACGAAAGAGGGGGAUUUAUGAGCGAUGGGAAGUCCGGAGACACCAAUCGAAUCUACCAGGACACUCUUUAAUGCCAUGUGAGUCGACUGGAAGACUCUAUCGGACUCCCGCGCUCGUUUUUGACCCUCUGACGAAUUCUUCAUUUUUGCUUCACUGUUACGGAGAGCUGAAACCACCACCUCCAAGCCUUCCACAAGCAUCAGAAUACCCUCUGGACCCUCUAGAAACACUCCAGGGGCCCUCAGGACCCCAUUUAACAACUCACUGUCCACUUUUCCAACCACGACUGCCAUUGUUUGGGUCGUGAUGAUAUGUGCGGGAGAGGAGAGGUUGUCUUCACGGCAGAAAAGAGAGGUGGUGCAGUCACUAGGAAGACCCUACAACUCGCAAAACACGCAGCUAGCGUGUGCAAAAAAAUCGACUUGUCGCCACUAUUUCCGAAUUCUCGUCUUGUCGCUUCUUUAAUUCCAUUAAUUUCGAUUUAUUCCCAUAAUCCAAGUUAAUGCAGACACGCAACACACAGCGCCCUCACAGCCUUUGAAGCUACACUACAGGCAAGAGCAGUUCUCGGGCUUGCUGGCAAGUGAUUAUAAAACUGAAAAGAUAUUCCAACUCGGGGAGCCGGCACCGUUUACACAGAGACAUUACAUAAGCCGAUAGAGACAUUAUGACCCGCCAAAGAAACGGAGGUUUCACUCCCUGACAAGUCCGAAAGUUACACGUCAAUAGACAAGCGAAUACGGCAACAUAGUGCCAGGUUUCACAUGUGUUUGAAUUCAAAAGAGCCGGCUGAUGAGCUCUUUACGACUUUCCGACCUAUACGAACCUCGAAAGGUGCGUCGACGGACCGACACUCAGUAAUACGGGACAGAAACAAUUCAUCUGAGACCGUGCUUUAUUCUGCUCUGAGUUGGUGGUGUUGACAUAGCUACGGGAGACAGAUCGCGUGUGAAGUUCAUAGGCUACUGUACUGGAAACAAGUGUUUCAAGUUUGU
rnacentral:misc_RNA from 1 species